AUAUAAUAUACAUUUAGGCGGUGUUUAGUUCAGAAAUAAGGGAAAAGUAAAUCCUUAUUCUCACAUUUGUUCUCAAACAAAAAUUUUCUUACUCACUGAUCGUUCCUAGAGCAAGUGGGAAAGGGCUUGGUGGUUAGUACCUAAGACCCAAGUUCGAAUCCUAGUUGAUUUAUAUUUUUAGCUAAGUUUAUUUCUGAAUGAAAUAAACAAAGCGGGUAGCGUGCUACUUAUCUCUCUCAAAAAAAAAAAAAAAAAAAAUCGUACUCAAGAACAGUAAUUUUCGAAUCCUUGGAAUAAGUUAGUAUAACCGGGCGGUUCAGAAACAAGGAAAAAAUAAGUUCUUAUUUCUCCAUUUAUUUCCAAACAUAAAUUUUCGUACUUGAGAAUUGUAGUUCUCAUAUCCCUAAAAUAAGCUAAUAUAAUCUGGCAGCUUAUAAUCUGGUAUAAGUUUGGAACUAUUGUUCUGCCCUUUUUUCCAGAACAAGUUUGCUUUUAAGUGAAAACAGGAUUAAUUAAAGCCUAAAUUUAAUUUUAAUUAUAAUAUUAAAUUAUUAAUUAAUAUAAUUAAUAUAUUUAAAUUAUUAUUUAUUGUUUAAAUAAUAAAAUAAUUAAAUAAGUUAUUACUUAUAAUUAAUUAGCCAUAAACUAAUAUUUAUAUUGAACAAUCAUUAAUUUUUUUUUGUUAAUCUAAUUAAUUUUUUUACUCAUUAUCUAACUAAAAUAAUUUAAAAUUAUUUUAUAAUUAAUUAAUUAAUUAAUUAAUUACUAUAUUUUUAUUAUCUUAUACAAUAUUGAUAGCUAAUAAAUUUGUUAAUUUGUGUUUGAUUCCCAUCUAACCAUUAAAAUACUAUUUACCUUAUUUCCAAGAACAAUCUAAUUUUCUCCAAAUAUAAAAUUAAUCUAAUUUUUAUUUACAUCUUAAUUUGUACUUAUUACUAAAAUA
rnacentral:lncRNA from 1 species